CAUUAUGGGCAUAACAACCCGAAGAGACAUAUAUCUGACGACAAAGAUGAGUGAGAGAGAAUCAUAACCUCAAUUCAAUCUCAACCAACCAUUACAACCUAUCUUAAGAUCAAGACACUUGUCAAAUGAUAAGCCCUAUGAGACUUAAUCAACACAUCACAAUUUUACACAAUAGCUCAGCCUAUGAGCUGAGACAUGACACACAUAACAAUCUUGUAAUGUUUACUAAUCAGUACAACAUACAUACUAACACUCUCCUUUAAGUUGUGAACUGAUUUCACUCCAAGUAGAUUUCUCAAGUAAGUGAACUGCUCCCUUGCCAAUGCUUUUGUAAAGAUAUCUGCCAGUUGCUCCUUUGUAGGACAGUGAAUCAAAUCAAUUACUCCUUGCUGUAAUGCUUCCUUUAUGAAGUGAUAUCUUCGGUUUAUAUGCUUGGUCUUCUGAUGAAAGAUGGGAUUCUUGGUGAUGGCUAUGGCAGAUGUAUUGUCACAAUUCAUUGGUGUUGCAACCGUUUGCAUUUCACCAAAAUCCUCUAGGACAAAUCUCAACCAAGUAGCCUGUGCUGUUGCUUCAGAAGCACUAAUAUACUCUGCUUCGGCUGUGGAUAAUGCAACACAUUGUUGCUUGACUGAAGACCAAGAGAAAAUCCCAUUUCCAAAAGUAAAAGCAUACCCGGAUGUGCUUUUCAUGUCAUCCUCUGAACCACUCCAGUCACUAUCACAGUAUCCCAUUAAGAGUGUUCCUUCACCUUUCUUGUAUUCCAAACCAAAAUCAAGGGUUCCUUGAACAUAUCUCAAUACUCUCUUUGCUGUUCCAUAGUGCUUGUUAGUUGGACAAUGCAUAAACCGAGCUAAGAGACAAGCAGCAUACAUUAUAUCAGGUCUAGUUGCUGUGAGAUACAACAGACUACCUACAAUCUGUCUAUACUGAGCUUCAUCUGCAUUUCCACUUCCAUCUUCUCUUCUCAGUUUGUCACUUGGAACCAAAGGAGUACUCACUGAUUUGCAAUUCUGUAGUCCGAACUUCUUCAGAAGAGAUAAGGCAUAAUUUCUCUGAUGAAUGAAGAUACACUCCUCAGUUUGGAUUACCCCCAUACCAAGGAAAUGGUGUAAGAGACCAAGAUCAGUCAUCUCAUACUUAGACAUCAUCUCAGCUUUGAAAACAUCCAUUAACUCUUGACAAUUUCCAGUAUAUAUAAUAUCAUCAACAUAGAUGGAUACUAUGAUCAAUUCUGUGUCUCCCUUGUAUUUGGUGUACAGAGUUGCCUCACUGAUACUUUUCUUAAAUCCACAAAGCAUAAGAUAUGAGUCUAUUUCACCAUACCAGGCCCUAGGUGCCUGUUUUAGACCAUACAAAGCUUUAUGUAAUCUGUAAACCUUUUCUUCCUCUCCUUGCACUACAAACCCAUCUGGCUGUUCAACAUAUACUUCCUCUUCUAAUACUCCAUUCAGAAAAGCUGAUUUCACAUCUAGUUGAAAUAACUUCCAUUUAUUCUUUGCUGCCAGUGCAAUUAGAGUUCUAACUGUGUUUAAUCUUGCAACAGGUGCAAAAGUCUCAUUAAAAUCAAUUCCAGGCUUUUGUGCAUAGCCUUUUGCAACAAGUCUAGCCUUGUUCUUUUGAACUGUUCCAUCCAAAUUCAGCUUUGUUUUAUACACCCAUUUCACUCCAAUCACAUGCUUAUUUGAGGGUCUUCUCACCAACUCCCAUGUCUGAUUUUUUUCAAUCAUAUUCAUUUCAUCCUUCAUUGCCUUUUUCCAAGCUUCAUCAUGUGCAACUUCAUCAAAGGAUUCAGGUUCAACAAUACAUAAGUGACAUCUCUCAUAGAUCUCACUCAAAUUCCUAUACCUCAGUGGAGUAUCAUCAUACUGAGCAGAGACCCGUGAACUACUUGAUUCACCAAUAGCAGUAACUGUAGAACUUCCAGCUUGAAUUUGAGACCCAUCAGAUCCUUCUUGUUCAUGAGAUUCAGACAUCUCAUCAAUUUUAUCCACCUCUGAAGACUCAAUUGCAGAUAAAGGAAUACAGACUUCCUUGACUUUGUGUUUCUCCCAAUCCCAUCUACCAUGUUCAUCAAAAAUUACAUCUCUAGACAACAAGACCUUUUGAGUUAAGGGAUUCAGUACUCUAUACCCCUUUUCACAGGUUCCAUAUCCAAUGAAAACACCCAUGACACUUGUUUCUUCUAAUUUGUGUCUUAGAUUCCCUGGAAUAAGAGAAUAGCAAACUGAACCAAACACCUUCAAAUAUUUAAACCCCUUUGGUUUUCUUCACCCCACCGAUGUGGGACAAUUUUAACACUCCCCCUCACGUGUAACCUCAUUUAGUGGUUCACACGUGGAGAUCCACAUCGGUAAUUGAAACUCAGAGGUCGGCUCACGUUGGGCCCACUUGUUUUCAAUGGAACUCAGCGGUCAUCUCUAUAUUAAGAGCUCAGACUUGUUUCCUUCCGGGUGGUGACAAGCUCAUUGGCUUGCACACACAAGCUCGUUGGCUUGCACGGGCCCGCAACCGUGGGCUCUGAUACCAUGUUGGAAUCCAGCAAUACAACUAAUAUAACUAAGUCUAACAGGAUUUGAGAGAAAGAUUGUAAGAUUUAGAAGAUGAAAUCAGAGAGAGAGAGCACACACAGAGCAUAGCCUUUCAACUUCUAUCAUUGUAUUGCAUUAUGGGCAUAACAACCCGAAGAGACAUAUAUCUGACGACAAAGAUGAGUGAGAGAGAAUCAUAACCUCAAUUCAAUCUCAACCAACCAUUACAACCUAUCUUAAGAUCAAGACACUUGUCAAAUGAUAAGCCCUAUGAGACUUAAUCAACACAUCACAAUUUUACACAAUAGCUCAGCCUAUGAGCUGAGACAUGACACACAUAACAAUCUUGUAAUGUUUACUAAUCAGUACAACAACUUACAUACUAACACU
rnacentral:lncRNA from 1 species